GCUCCAAGUCAUGACAAUAGCUAUGUAUGCUAAUAUUAAUGAUAGCAUAUCAUAGUGAUACCUCUGUAAUGAUGGGAAGUGAUUUUGUUGGGGUUUCAGCCAGGAAAGGUGUGUUUCAGAAGCUUUAUAUAGGCUGUACAAAGGAAGCAUAAAACAUAAUUACUGUCUCCUGCCUGGACCAAGGACACACAUCUUACAGAAGACAAGAUGGGAACUCCAAGGAUGUUAUCAGUAGCUUUGAUGCUGACACUUAUAUGCCUCUGGGCAUCAGAUAUUUCUGCUCAAACAGUCAACGCUACAACUACUGCUGCACCAACAG